UCUGUCUCUCUCUUGCGUGCACUUCCUCUCUCUCUCUCUCUCUCUCUCUCUCUCUCUCUCUCUCUCUCUCUUUUUCUCCUCUGUUGCACUGCUGCAAUAAAGAUCUUUUGGUUGCUCUGAGUGUUGUGGUCACUUUCCUUUCAGGAACCUCUAUGGUCUUUGCUCCCUGGCUUCUGCAAGGAAAUCCAUGCACCAGUCCACUUAUCAGAGGGAUUCUGGGCAGGCCAGCUGGCGGAUCCAUGGACAGGCACACUGCUUGGAGUCCUGAGGUCACUGGGUGGGUGGACCUGGAGGCUGGGUCCUCUGGGGUGGACCUGGAGAUUCGUUCCACUGGAGUAGGCCUGUUGACUGGGUCUGCAGUGGGGAGCGGUACCUGGAAACUGUCUGUGGGGCUGGCCUGAUUCCUAGGUCCAUGGAUCCAAACUUUCCCUGGGGUGAGCUUUGAGCCUGAGUCCACAGGGCAUGGCCUGGCACUGGGUGGGCCUUGGGCUUGGUUCCACAGGCAUGAGCCUGGUCCUGAGUCCACAGGGGCCACCCUGAUGCCAGGGUUCACUCAGGUAGGCCUGGGGUCAGAGAAGCUAAAUUAGUGGAGGUCAGCCUGGUACUGGGGCUGCAAGAGCCGGCCUGGCAGGGAUGACCUGGUGUCUGAGUCUCCUGGGUCCUGAGUCUACAUGGGCCAGCCUGGAUCCUGGGCCUUGACCCUGGAUCCACUAUGGGGAUUCUUAAUGUCGACUGCUGCACAGCACUAGAGAACUAAUGGUCAUCAGCCAAUAUCCUUCCCCACUUCCAACCAACCAAGGGUUCAGUGGCCCGAGCACACCGUGUUGUGCAUCACACCCCCACCGAGUUCGUGAUACUGUUGGCACAUGCCUGGAUGUACCUGAGUUGCACCAGGUAAAGCCCAUUCAACGUCCACUGUCAGCGUUGGCUCUGACCACCCCCCCCCACGUUGGCCUAACCAGUCGGCACAACUGCACUUCCCUCAGGUAGAUAGUCUGUUGAGCUGAACUUUCCAUUUCUUGCUCGUUUGUCUAAAAAGCCUUUAUAUUGCCUUUGUUUUUGAAAAUCAUUCUUUCCUCCGUGUAAACUUCUGGGUUGACACUUGGAGGAUGCAGUCCUGUUGUCUUCCAGAGGCCAUGGCUGCAGCGGAGCGUCCCUGUGGACUGGUUUCAGUCGGGGUGACCUUUUGCUCUCUGGCUGCUCUCAGAACUGUCUUCAGUGCCCUGCGGCUUCACUAGGACGGCUCAGGAUCUGCAUUUCUAUUUGCCCUUCCUGGCAUUCUUGAAUCUCUGCACUCUGCACUCCGUCACUCUUCCUGGAGGACAGCCAGCCAGUGUCCUUGGAUGCCAGCUCUUCCACUCUGCCUCCGCCUGGAGUCUGUGGGAGCUCCACGCCCUCCUCCUCGCACCCCCUUGAUCUCUGCAGAGUCAGGGGUUUCAUCAGUACCAUUUUCCAGUUCAGUAAUUUGGUUGGGGAGGGGGAGUACUGGGGAUGGAACCCAGGGGUGCUUCACCACUGAGCCACAUCCCCAGCCCUUUUUGAGACAGGCUCUUGCUAAGUUGCUGAUGGUCUCACUAAAUUGCUGAGACUGUCCUCAAACUUGCAAUCCUCCUGCCUCAGCCUCCCAAGCCACUGAGUUACAGGCGUGCGUUACCAUGCCGGCCAGGUCAAUAAAUCUUUCUUUGGUUGUUUCUAACCUGAGAUUAAGCCCGUACACUGAGAUGUAAACGUCCGUGGUGUAGAAGAGCUGUCUGGGAAGGAAAAUGGCCCUGAGAGUUCACUGUGAGUGGCCUGGACAGAGGCUGGCU
rnacentral:lncRNA from 1 species